UACGGGGGGAGCAAGCGUUGUUCGGAUUUACUGGGCGUAAAGGGCGCGUAGGCGGUCGUGACAAGUCACUUGUGAAAUCUCCGGGCUUAACUCGGAACGGUCAAGUGAUACUGUCGGACUAGAGUACAGAAGGGGGCAACUGGAAUUCUCGGUGUAGCGGUGAAAUGCGUAGAUAUCGAGAGGAACACCUGCGGCGAAGGCGGGUUGCUGGGCCGACACUGACGCUGAGGCGCGAAAGCCAGGGGGAGCGAACGGG
rnacentral:rRNA from 1 species